GUGCUGGCUUCACCUGUACGUGUACUAAAGUUGGAACCAUACAGAGAAGAUUAGCAUGGCUCCUGCGCAAAGAUGACACACAAAUUUGUGAAGCAUUCCAUAUUUAA
rnacentral:snRNA from 1 species